GCUCCUCAGAUCCACUUUUUAAUUUCACCCACGCACGCUGUCUUGGGGACCAAACGCAUUUGAUGGACGCGCAUUUUGAGAAGCGGGACUUGGUGAAGGUGGGCGACCUUUGGAGGAAGUUUUUCAGCGGGCGGUCUGGAUCUACUUUUGGAGUCUGGUGUUAGUUUCCUCGCAGCAUGGAUAAUCUGACCGUGCACGGUAACGUGAGCGUGGACAAUGACACGUCCCUGCUGGACAAUCGCACCCUGGGCGUUUGGAGCGACUAUGUCGUUGAAUACAAAGUGGUGAGCGUCCUUUUGGUGACUAUCAUAUGCGGGGUGGGCAUCGUGGGGAACAUCAUGGUCAUCAUCGUGGUGCUGACCACCAAGCACAUGCGGACCCCCACCAACUGCUACCUGGUGAGCCUGGCGGCGGCUGACCUGAUGGUGCUGACGGCCGCCGGGCUGCCCAACAUCACGGACGCGCUGUACGCGCAGUGGGUGUACGGUUACGCGGGCUGCCUGGGCAUCACAUACUUCCAGUACCUGGGGAUCAACGCGUCCUCCUGCUCCAUCACCGCCUUCACCGUGGAGCGGUACAUCGCCAUCUGCCACCCCAUCAAAGCGCAGUUCCUGUGCACUUUGUCCAGAGCCAAGAAGAUCAUCCUGCUGGUCUGGGCGCUCACCUCCGUCUACUGCGUCAUGUGGCUGUUUCUGUCCGACACCACCAAGCAGGUGUACGACAACGCGGUGAUGCUCAGCUGUGGUUACAAGGUGUCCAGGAGUUACUACCUGCCCAUUUACUUCACGGACUUCACGGUGUUCUACGUGCUGCCGCUCCUGCUGGCCACCGUGCUGUACGGGCUGAUCGCCAGGAUCCUCUUCCUGAACCCGCUGCCUUCAGAGCCCAAAGGCGGCAGCAAGAAGUGGAAGAAGGACACGCAGGGGGCCCGGAUGGUCGGGACCAGCUCCUGCAGCAGCGCCACGGCAUCUUCUCGCAGACAGGUGACAAAGAUGCUGGCUGUAGUGGUGAUCCUCUUUGCCGUACUUUGGAUGCCCUAUCGGACCUUAGUGGUGGUUAACUCCUUCCUGAAUAAGCCCUACCUCGACAAGUGGUUUCUACUUUUCUGCCGCCUCUGCAUCUACUUAAACAGCGCCAUCAACCCGAUCGUUUACAACGCUAUGUCACAGAAGUUCCGUGCUGCCUUCAAGAAGUUGUGUCACUGCGGCCCUCAGCGUAUGGAAAAACCAGCUUCCUGCACCGUGGCGCUCACCUACACUGUCAUCAAGGACACAUCCAACGGGGAGAGCCCUGAUCACUUCACGACAAAAAUGGAUGAGCUGAACACACCGACAGAUCAUUUUGUACGGGCCAACAUCUUACCGACGGGCAACAUGACGCUGUACGAGGACACUUUUGUCAGGGAGUAGGUUGAAUCUGGACUGAACAUGCCUGAAGAAGUGAAAACCAAAACGGAUGCAAUGACAUCAGUCACCAUUUUUGGCCUUUGAGUUUUCUGUGCAAUGUAAGUGAAGGAAGUGAAGCAUCAGUGACGUCUGGUCCGUGUUUAACAACCAUAUUUAUCAGUUCGAAAGAAAGAAAGAAAAAAAAUCCUUUUGUGCUUAAUGGAUGGGAUAUGAUAUAACCAUCCUUUCAGGAGGGAUACUUGAAUGGACACAGAAGACAAACGGCGGAUGAGAGGACUUUGUCAUCAAGGUGAUUCACCCUUUGCAAACAUGCACCCCGAUGUGUGAUGUACAACAUUAUGAACCUUCAGGAACAGACAUCAUUGUGACAUCACUGCUAAUUUUUACAGAAGAAGAAAAAAAAAGCGUUGUUUUUGUUGUUUCCGACCAGAGAGCGUGUAAUCCCAGUGAAUCAAAAUGCAAUUACAACCACAGUGUGAUGGAGCAAGCACAGAUACGGAAUUACAUGACUUUUUCAAAAAGGUCAAAAUCCAGAAAGAGAGUGAUGUCAUCACAACGACACGCCAGUAAUCUCCAUUUGAUCGAUUUAUUCACCUCGAAAUGUAGAAUUUGAAUGCUUUCUGUGAGGGCAUCAGGUUUCGAGUGAAAGACCUGUCAGAGCGGACUUGGGCUUUGAUCACUGUGGACUCUCAGGAGCCUGUGAAGAGUUGGGAGCUUCCGAACAGGCUUCUGGAAGUGGUUUGAGGGAAGACUUCAUUGAUGGCCAAGUGGUUAGUGUGCUUGGAUUCAGUGCGGAAGGUUCCCGGUUUGAACCCCACCCCUGCCAUAUUUCUCCAUGAAGGGCAUCCAGUGUAAAACCUCUGAUGAUUUAUCUUUAUAUUUAUUGUCACUGUACUUUAAGCACAAUGAAAUUAAAAAAGCAAUCUCAGCUCUAAGUGCAUAUACACAUAAUAAAUAAAUAAUUACCAAUAUAAUACUAAGUAAUAUUAAAUGAUUAAAAGUUUAAAAGCAGUCACACCCAACAGCAGCUGCAUAAAAGGAAUUAUUUCACAUUUGCAUUAAGUGCACAAAUGGCUCUUGCAUAAAAAAACACUUUUCAAUCUGUUUGUUCUUGCUUUCAGUGUCCUGCACCAUCUGCCAGAUGGCAGCGGUUCAAACAGAUGAUGACCGGGGUGAAAGAGGUCUCUGACUAUACGUAUUUUUUGCCUUCCUGAGGCAGCGACGGGUGUACAGUUCCUCUACUGAAAACACAGGACAGCAGAUAAUCUUCUGGACUGUGGUGACGACCCUGUGGAGAGCUUUCCUGUCUGCAGCCGUGCAGCUGGAAAACCACACACACAGACAGUAAGUCAGAAAGCUCUCUUUGGAACAGCAAUGGGAGGCCACCAGCAGUCUCUGUGGAAGGUAAAUAAUCCCGAGAACUCCCGAGUCUCUGCUGUGCCUUCUUGAUGGUGGCCGUGGUGUUAGUGCUCCAAGUCAGGUUGUCUCUCAAGAACAUGCCCAGAAACCAAAAGUCAGAGACCCUCUUCAAACAAUCCCCACCAAUAACCAGUGGUUGAAAGUCCAUAUUCCUCCUCCUGUAAUCCACCACCAUCUCAUUUGUCUUAGAGGUGUUCAGGA